UACGUAGGGUGCGAGCGUUGUCCGGAAUUACUGGGCGUAAAGCGCGCGUAGGCGGCUUUGUAAGUUAGAGGUGAAAGCCCGGAGCUCAACUCCGGAACUGCCUUUAAGACUGCAUCGCUAGAAUCAUGGAGAGGUGAGUGGAAUUCCGAGUGUAGAGGUGAAAUUCGUAGAUAUCGGAAGGAACACCAGUGGCGAAAGCGGCUUCCUGGUCCAGCACCGACGUCAGGCACGAAAGCGUGGGGAGCAACAGG
rnacentral:rRNA from 1 species